AUAAGAGAUACAGCUCAGUGGUAGAGCAUUCAACUGCCCAUUGAUAGGUCCCCGGUUCAAACCCGGGUUUUUAUU